rnacentral:siRNA from 1 species
UAUUUUAUGGGCUGCUUAUUUAAA